GACGUAGGGCGCGAGCGUUGUCCGGAUUUAUUGGGCGUAAAGAGCUCGUAGGCGGCUUGUUGCGUCAGCUGUGAAAACCCGCAGCUCAACUGUGGGCUUGCAGCUGAUACGGGCAGGCUAGAGUUCGGUAGGGGAGACUGGAAUUCCUGGUGUAGCGGUGAAAUGCGCAGAUAUCAGGAGGAACACCGGUGGCGAAGGCGGGUCUCUGGGCCGAUACUGACGCUGAGAAGCGAAAGCAUGGGGAGCGAACAGG
rnacentral:rRNA from 1 species